rnacentral:rRNA from 1 species
UCAAGCGAACAAGGGCGCAGGGCGAAUGCCUUGGCACUGGGAGCCGAUGAAAGACGUGAUAAGCUGCGAUAAGCCUCGGGGAGCUGCAAAUAAGCUUUGAUCCGGGGAUUUCUGAAUGAGGAAACUCACUUGGGUUCAUACUCAAGUACACUGUACUGAACUUAAAAAUAGGUGCAGUGAGGGAACCGCCUGAACUGAAACAUCUAAGUAGGGCGAGGAAGAGACAUCAAACGAGAUUCCGUAAGUAGUGGCGAGCGAACGCGGAAGAGGGCAAACCGGAGGUAGAAAUACCUCCGGGGUACGGACUGCUUUUAAGACUUAAGUUGCUAAUCGAACGGCAUGGGAAGGCCGGUCAGAGAGUGUGAGAACCACGUAGAUGAAAGCGACGAGAGCUGCGCAGGAUCCAGAGUACGGCCAGACACGUGAAACCUGGUCGGAAUACGGGGGGACCACCCUCCAACCCUAAAUACUACCCAGUGACCGAUAGCGUAUAGUACUGUGAAGGAAAGGUGAAAAGCACCCCGGGAGGGGAGUGAAAGAGAACCUGAAACCCUGUGCCUACAAGCACCUAGAGCACGUCAAAGUGUGAUAGGGUACUUUUUGUAGAACGGUCCGGCGAGCGAUUAUAUGCAGCAAGGUUAAGGUCUUAAGGACUGAAGCCGAAGCGAAAGCGAGUUUGAAUAGGGCGUUAAGUUGCAUAUAAUGGGCCCGAAACCGGGUGACCUACCCAUGGUCAGGUUGAAGUGGAAGUAAAAUUCCAUGGAGGACCGAACCGACCUCCGUUGAAAAGGCGGCGGAUGAACUGUGGGUAGCGGAGAAAUUCCAAUCGAACCCGGAGAUAGCUGGUUCUCCCCGAAAUAGUUUUAGGACUAGCCUCAACUUAGAUAUCUGGAGGUAAAGCACUGAAUAGCCUAGCGGCCGAGAGGUUAGCGAAGCUUAUCAAACUCAGAAUGCCAGAAUAUUGAUGGUUGGGAGUCAGACAGUGUCAGAUAAAUGUCAUUGUCAAAAGGGAAACAGCCCAGAUCUACAGCUAAGGUCCCAAAGUUAGGUUAAGUGGAAAACGAUGUGAAGAUACGCAGACAACCAGGAUGUUGGCUCAGAAGCAGCCACUCAUUCAAAGAGUGCGUAAUAGCUCACUGGUCGAGCGUCUUUGCGCGGAUAAUUUAACGGGGCUAAACCUAACACCGAAGCUUAGGCAGCAUGUUUACAUGCUGGGUAGGGGAGCGUUGUAUGCGCGGUGAAACAGUAGCGUAAGCGGCUGUGGAGUGCAUACAAGUGAGAAUGCCGGAAUGAGUAGCGCGAAUGCAGUGAGAAUCUGCAUGGCCGAAAGCCUCAGGUUUUUGGAGGAAGGUUCGUCCGCUCCAAGUUAGUCGGGAGCUAAGGUGAGGCCGGAAGGCGUAGCCGAUGCACAGACGGUAGAGAUUCCGUCACCACCAAAAGAGUUAAGCACAGGGACACAUUCAAAGUCUCAGAGCCGGGUGUUGGUUCCGGUAGAGAUCGAGGGAAAAUAGUACCGAAGUCUGGGAUGGAGGAUGGCGAGAAAAGCUGUGUGUAUUUCUGCGGUGCCCGUACCGCAAACCGACACAGGUAGGUAGGAAGAAGAUUCUAAGGCCAACGGGAGAAGGGUUGUUAAGGAACUCGGCAAAUUGACCCCGUAACUUCGGGAGAAGGGGUGCUCUAGCAAUAGAGCCGCAGAGAAUCGGCCCAAGCAACUGUUUACCAAAAACACAGGUUUGUGCUAAAUCGAAAGAUGACGUAUACGAGCUGACGCCUGCCCGGUGCUGGAAGGUUAAGAGGAGAUGUGCAAGCAUUGAAUCGAAGCCCCAGUGAACGGCGGCCGUAACUAUAACGGUCCUAAGGUAGCGAAAUUCCUUGUCAGGUAAG